rnacentral:rRNA from 1 species
CCUGGCUCAGGAUGAACGCUAGCGACAGGCCUAACACAUGCAAGUCGAGGGGCAGCACAAGGAGCAAUCUGAGGUGGCGACCGGCGCACGGGUGAGUAACACGUAUGCAACCUGCCUGUAAGCGGGGAAUAACCCGUUGAAAGACGGACUAAUACCGCAUAAUACUAAAUUACUGCAUGGUAAUUUAUUUAAACAUUUAUGGCUUACAGAUGGGCAUGCGCAUGAUUAGCUAGUUGGAGAGGUAACGGCUCCCCAAGGCAACGAUCAUUAGGGGUUCUGAGAGGAAGGUCCCCCACACUGGUACUGAGACACGGACCAGACUCCUACGGGAGGCAGCAGUGAGGAAUAUUGGUCAAUGGACGAGAGUCUGAACCAGCCAAGUCGCGUGCAGGAAGAAUGUCCUAUGGAUUGUAAACUGCUUUUGCAGGGGAAUAAAGUGCAUCACGUGUGAUGUUUUGUAUGUACUCUGCGAAUAAGGAUCGGCUAACUCCGUGCCAGCCGCGGC